UCCCGCCUCCUGUGAAGAAGAGAAGGAGGUGCUCUCCCUUCCGCCCCCAACUCUGAGCCUUCGGAGCUGCUCCUGGCAACACUCACACCCCGCAUCGUGACACGACUGCAUCUCGUUCUCCAAGUGGCAGCUCCUGCACCGAGGCUCCUCAGCUUGGUCCGAGGAUGGAAACGGCAGCUUUCAGAGAAGGCUGGGGCCCCGCGGUGUCCCUGGGGCUCCCCACGGGAGGGGCUGAUUCUGCAAGCCGCCCGCCCGCCCCCGCGUGUCCCUCAGGCUGCUCUCUGCCCAGGCUCCUGCACCAUGCCCCAGGGCAGCCCUGCCGCCCUGGGGGUGGGCUCAGAGGCCUAGCCAGCAGACACGGGGUGGCGUGGGUGCUCAGCCCCUGUUCACAGCCCAGGGAUGGGCAGCAGCCAGCCCGGGCCAGCAGGUCUGGGCAGGGCCUGAGGGCUCCAGGGCAGGUGCAGUGAGACUGGGGACUGGGCAGGUUGGAGCGUGGGGCAGAGAUGCCUCAACACGUGAAAUCUUAGGCUGGGACUCCUCUGAAAUCUUUAGCUUCUUCCAAAGAGCACAGAAACCUGUUAGAGGCUGUUACUUGAUGAUGGGGGGCAAGGGUUCUGUCACUCACCCCCAAGGGUGGCCCUCGAUCGUGUGGCCUGCCUGUUCCCCACAGCGGGCACUGACCCCACAGUGCCCACUUGGGCUGGCGUCCUGCCCCCGUGUCUCUGCGUAGACCCAGCCCCUCAGGGAUAAUCAGCCGAACCAAACCUGGGGCCCCCAGCUCUUGGCCCCAUUCCAAUGCCCAGUGAUCCUAUCUCGAGACCCUCAAUCACAUCUGCAAAGACGCUUUUUCCAGAUGAGGUCACGAGCACAUGUUCUGGGUAGACAUGAACGUCUGGGUCACGCAGCAACUUCUCCGCAGGGGACCCCUGUAACCACAGGGACAGGAGCUUCCCUCCACCCCCUUGCUGCGGGGUGAGGCUGGGGGCUGUGUCCCCCUACCCUGGGCUGUUUAAAGCCAGCUGGGCUUUCUCCCCCCAGGUGGGCCUUCCGGCCAAGAAGGCGGCGGGCAGGACGUGCCUGUGGAGGCCAUGGGGGCGGCUGUUCUCGGCAGCGUCCUCUUCCUGGAGAGUGCCCCCCUUCAGCCCCGAGACCCCAGGAAAGGGCCCUGGCACCCCAGCCCCGACCAGCAGCGCUGCCCGUCGUUGCUGACGGCAGACGCCCUCUCUCUGGGGUCCAGGCACCCUGCUUGCUCUCUCUCUCCUCCUCCUGCACAUCUUCCCGCCGCCGCCGAGUACAGGUGUAGGUGCCCAGCCAGCCUUCAGGAGAACAGCCCCCAGGGGGUGCCUGACACACGGUCAACUCGUGUGUUUGACGCGAAACCCUUACCUCCUCCAGGGCCUCCGCGCCGAGAGUUCACGCCCGUGGUCGCCGGGCUGGGAUCCGCUCAUCCUCUCCCCGCGCGCCUGGUGGGGGCAGCGCUCGAAGCCCAGCAGCUCUCGAACUCCGACCUGUGGCUUCUGGGGGUUGUCAGGGAUGCGGUGGCCUCUGGAGGUGACCCAAGCGGCAGCCUCUCUGCCGGCACCGUGUCUGGGGAGCGGGGACCCUGUUCUGGGCGGCGAUGUCCAGUGCCCAGGGUGCUGUGCUGACCCUGCCUGGCUUCAGGGGACGCCUCGAGUGUGACCCACUGGCCACCUUUGGGGCAGGGGAAGCCGUGGUCCCGCAGCUCCCAAGGCCCACGGUUUCUCCGGACGGGCUGCAGGCGGAUGGGCCUGGAUGCCAGAGGGAAGAAGCCGGGCACAAAGGGCCGCACGGCCUGUGAGUCCGCUUACACGAAACGUCCAGGACAGGCACAUCCACAGUCAGAAAGUGGGAAGUUCAUGAACAAAUGACAAAGGGGAAAAAAUCCGGAGUGGAGCCCAGGGAGGCUGGGCUGCAGCGUCCGGGAGCCUCUCCUUGGGGACAGCCGGCAACGGCCAUGUCUGCAGCGGAGGCUCGGGGAGCAGCGAGGACGUCCAGGUGGCCAGGGCCGGGCGCUGCCCCUGAAAGGGCGCGGGACAGGCUCACAGUGAGGAGGCCGGACCCCAAGCUGCCUCUUCCAACCGCGGUGGAAAACGGCAGAGCAGAAAGUGUGGAAAGAAGGCACCUGGCGCGCCGGAGUCUCCCGGGGGCAGGCCAUGGGCUACCCUUGCUCUUUCUUCGUAUUUGUCUGUGGUUUUCAAAUUUCCCACCUGGGCCCGUAAUGCUGUUAUAAUCAGAAUGGUUUAUUAAGCCCAAUCUGCAUGUUUCCUCCUAGAAUAGUUUCUAGCUGGUGAUACAUUUCUAAGAGCGAUGUUUUAAUACCAUCAGACGGGC